AACGGCGUCCCAGCUGCUCGCAAACCAACUGCUCGAUUCUAUUCACUGUCGAGUAGGAACAAAAAAGUGGCUAUUUAUUAGAAUACUUGUUUGGUAUUGUUCCGCGCCACACAAAAGGCGUUUCAUUAUGUGGAGGGAUCUCCUUUUUCCAGAGAGAAACAAUAACUUGAAAUUGUCUUUAAAGUCUUUUCUAUCAAUAAUAAAUUUCAUUUUCUUGUCUCUCUCGCCUGCAGUGUGUGUGCGCGCGCGCGAGGCGAGGAGAGAGGCGCGUGUGCGAGUGAGUGUGCUAGCGGGGGUGCGCGUGUGAGUGUGCGCGUGUGUGUGCGUGCGCGUGGCACCGGCGCCCGCGGCUACGGGGCUGGCGCUGCCGGAGCCGGGCCGGACCGGGGUCCGAGAUCUGCGUCGCGCUGGGCACGCUGGCCACCCGGUCCGGAAUGAGUCGGGGCUCCGGGAGGUGCCCGUGGGCAGAGCGUUAGGGGCGCGGCCGUGCCGGACCCGCCCUGGGGACCCGCUGGAGCUGGAGGAGGAACUAACUGACUCCAAGCUGCUGUCCCCUCUCUGCCGCAUCUGAGGCUGGGAAAACUUCCUAGGAGAAGGCAAGAGAAAGCCACCAGACCAGAGCCGAGGACUAAACUUUAAGGUCGAAGACGGCAGAGGGGCAGGUUCUCCCCUGCACACCCCAAGGCCUCUCCUGCACCCGCGAGGCCUUCCUUGAGCGCCCAGGCCCCCGAAAUGCCUGCCCUCCUUCUGACAAAAGGAGGGGGUAGGAUGUGAAGGGGUAGUGCAACCAACAAUGUUUUUGUAAACACAACAACAGGGAAAUACAUGGAGGAAAUCU
rnacentral:lncRNA from 1 species